rnacentral:lncRNA from 1 species
GGGUAUGGUAUACUCAGUACUUAAGAUGUCACCUCCAGUUAAAAACUGUGCAACAGACCUCAGCAGCAUAGAGCACUGAGCUCAGAUUUCUGGUGCCUUCCCACAGAGUUUUGAUUGAAGACUUAUUUCUUAUCUUUAGUGGGCUCCGUGGCAUGAAUUCAGGAUAUCUGAAAGACUGAUGAAACCUGCAGGAUGAAGAACACUGUCAGCAUUUGUAUAAAGGUUAAAAGUUCCAGAGAAGCUGGAUGUUCCAAACUCUACGUUGCUUUUCCUGCAUAAACUUAUGGUGCAAAAGGGGUAUGGAAGAACAGUGAAAUCCAUUGGCCAGGUUAGUGUUCUAUUACACAGCUAUACGGAGAGUUACUAAAUAAAUGCAUGGUAUGUGUUGUAUGUUCA